AAUCCAUAGGUUAAUGAGGCGAACCGGGGGAACUGAAACAUCUAAGUACCCCGAGGAAAAGAAAUCAACCGAGAUUCCCCCAGUAGCGGCGAGCGAACGGGGAGGAGCCCAGAGCCUGAAUCAGCAUGUGUGUUAGUGGAAGCGUCUGGAAAGGCGCGCGAUACAGGGUGACAGCCCCGUACACAAAAGCGCAUGUGCUGUGAGCUCGAUGAGUAGGGCGGGACACGUGGUAUCCUGUCUGAAUAUGGGGGGACCAUCCUCCAAGGCUAAAUACUCCUGACUGACCGAUAGUGAACCAGUACCGUGAGGGAAAGGCGAAAAGAACCCCGGCGAGGGGAGUGAAAAAGAACCUGAAACCGUGUACGUACAAGCAGUGGGAGCACAGGUUUACCUGUGUGACUGCGUACCUUUUGUAUAAUGGGUCAGCGACUUAUAUUCUGUAGCAAGGUUAACCGUAUAGGGGAGCCGUAGGGAAACCGAGUCUUAACCGGGCGUUAAGUUGCAGGGUAUAGACCCGAAACCCGGUGAUCUAGCCAUGGGCAGGUUGAAGGUUGGGUAACACUAACUGGAGGACCGAACCGACUAAUGUUGAAAAAUUAGCGGAUGACCUGUGGCUGGGGGUGAAAGGCCAAUCAAACCGGGAGAUAGCUGGUUCUCCCCGAAAGCUAUUUAGGUAGCGCCUCGUGAAUUCAUCUCCGGGGGUAGAGCACUGUUUCGGCUAGGGGGCCAUCCCGGCUUACCAACCCGAUGCAAACUGCGAAUACCGGAGAAUGUUAUCACGGGAGACACACGGCGGGUGCUAACGUCCGUCGUGAAGAGGGAAACAACCCAGACCGCCAGCUAAGGUCCCAAAGUCAUGGUUAAGUGGGAAACGAUGUGGGAAGGCCCAGACAGCCAGGAUGUUGGCUUAGAAGCAGCCAUCAUUUAAAGAAAGCGUAAUAGCUCACUGGUCGAGUCGGCCUGCGCGGAAGAUGUAACGGGGCUAAACCAUG
rnacentral:rRNA from 2 species